AUCUCCCGAAUUUGCCAUCGAUUUUUUACAUUAAAAAAUUCAUCCACAUAGAAAUUGCCCCUCUUCAUUUACGAAUCUGAGAUUUCUGCUGACUCUCCUUUCAAACCAGACGAAGAAUCAUCUCUCCACAUAAUUCAAAUACGGUAAGAACCAAUAAUGGAACUCCAGAGAUUGAAUAACUACAUCCUUGUUCUUCUUCUUUUUUUGGAUUCGUAUUUGCAUUCCUUGUUUCCACAUAAACUUGCUUCCCCAUUGGGUUGUGUUCUGCAAAUUGGAAGAAGCGCGAUGUUCUCAACAAAAAAAAAAA
rnacentral:lncRNA from 1 species